AUACGGAGGGUGCAAGCGUUAUUCGGAAUCACUGGGCGUAAAGGACGCGUAGGCGGGUUGGCAAGUCAGAUGUGAAAUCCUACAGCUUAACUGUAGAACUGCAUUUGAAACUGCUAACCUAGAGUAUGGGAGGGGGAGAUGGAAUUAGUGGUGUAGGGGUAAAAUCCGUAGAUAUCACUAGGAAUACCGAAAGCGAAGGCGAUCUCCUGGAACAUAACUGACGCUAAGGCGUGAAAGCGUGGGGAGCAAACAGGAUUAGAUACCCGAGUAGUCC
rnacentral:rRNA from 1 species